rnacentral:rRNA from 1 species
GGCUCAGGAGGGUUGGCAACGACCCCCCAGAGCCGGAAAGUUGGUCAAACUCGGUCAUUUAGAGGAAGUAAAAGUCGUAACAAGGUUUCCGCUCAUAAGUCUUGCGCCUGGAACAAAUGAUUCCUUCCGCAGUGUACACUUAUCGAAGCCUUUGCAGCCACGCAAGUGGUAGACCCGGCACGACUCAAAACAAGGCCUAGUCGCGAUGCAAGUCGGCAACCGCCGGCGACACUUUCGAAUUGACGGGGACACCCUAAAGCCGAUCGCACCAACCCGCGGUGGGAAACCACCCGGGGGCCCGUGAUAACUACACGGGGUACGGUAAGAGACGAUCUGGAUACCUCUCUGGCGCCCGCCGGAGAAACCAUGGGCAAUCCGCAGCGAAGCCUCUACGUCCCCCCGCGGGGGAUACGAGGAACGUCCACAGACUAAGUGAAAGUGGGUGGGGGGCAUGCCCCCUGCUUAAGAUAUAGUCGGGCCCUCUGGGAGACCGGAGGGGUGAGUACACUGCUCCCAAACCGUUCCGUAGGUGAACCUGCGGAAGGAUCAUUA